rnacentral:sRNA from 1 species
GCUGAGUGCGGUGGUGUACACCUAUAAUCCCAGCAGCCUGGGAGGCUGAGGCAGGAGGAUGGCAAGUUCAGAGCAACUCAGCGACUUAGCAAGGCUCUGAGCAACUUACCAAGACCCUGUCUCUA